rnacentral:rRNA from 1 species
GACGAACGCUGGCGGCGUGCUUAACACAUGCAAGUCGAACGGAAAGGCCCUGCUUUUGUGGGGUGCUCGAGUGGCGAACGGGUGAGUAACACGUGAGUAACCUGCCCUUGACUUUGGGAUAACUUCAGGAAACUGGGGCUAAUACCGGAUAGGAGCUCCUGCUGCAUGGUGGGGGUUGGAAAGUUUCGGCGGUUGGGGAUGGACUCGCGGCUUAUCAGCUUGUUGGUGGGGUAGUGGCUUACCAAGGCUUUGACGGGUAGCCGGCCUGAGAGGGUGACCGGCCACAUUGGGACUGAGAUACGACCCAGACUCCUACGGGAGGCAGCAGUGGAGAAUAUUGCACAAUGGGCGGAAGCCUGAUGCAACAACGCCGCGUGCGGGAUGACGGCCUUCGGGUUGUAAACCGCUUUCGCCUGUGACGAAGCGUGAGUGACGGUAAUGGGUAAAGAAGCACCGGCUAACUACGUG